UGCGGACGACAGCACUGGGGAUGCCUUUUACACAGGCCGUGCCAACAUCCCUCGUUCUGUGGUGCUUGAGAGUCGUGAAAAGCUUGUGUCGGACAUUGAGAACACUCUAUCCAGAGUUUCGGUGUGGGGUCGGGACAAUUUAGUCCGAUUCAACCCCACCAAGACACAAGUUUGCGCCUUCACCGCUAAGAAAACCCCAUUUACUGUGGUCCCACAGUUCCAAGGCACAGCCCUUACCAUGUCAGGGAGUAUUGGGAUCCUUGGUGUCGACAUCUCCAGUGACGUCCAAUUCCGUAGCCACCUGGAAGGUAAGGCUAAGCUGGCAUCGAAAAAACUCGGUGUGCUCAAUAAAGCGAGGCGAUACUUUACUCCGGGGCAAAGACUGCUGCUUUAUAAAUCGCAAGUCAGACCCCAUAUGGAGUACUGCUGUCACCUUUGGGCAGGAGCACCUGGAUGCCAGCUUGGACCCUUCGACUCAAUCCAAAGGCGCGCUGUACGAAUCGUCGAUGAUCCCAAACUCACAAGCGGUAUUGAACCUUUAAGUCUGAGGAGAGACCUUGCCUCCUUAUGUGUGUUCUACCGCUUGUACAAUGGGCUGUGCUCUGAAGAAUUGUUUGACAUGAUGCCAACGGCAGCUUUCUAUCACCGCACCGCUCGCCAUCGGCAGGGUGUUCAUCCACACACCCUAGAACCUAAAUGGUCGCGUACUGUGCGGUUUAAGAGGAAUUUCCUCCCGCGGACGCUCCGGCUGUGGAAUGAGCUCCCUUCCGAGGUUUUCCCGAGGGUCUACGAUAUGGGGUUCUUCAAAAAAGGAGUGUACAGGUUUUUAAAGGGUCGGCAACGCGCAUGUAUUUAACUCCUCUGGAGUUGCAGACGUCCAAAGGCUACUGUGACUGCUUACCAUCAGGCGGGAAGUAUGCUUGUUUGACACAGACGU